GAAAUGCGAUAAGCAAUGUGAAUUGCAGAAUUCAGAGAAUCAUCGAAUCUUUGAACACACCUUGCGAUCCUUGGUAUUCCGAGGAGCAUGCCUGUUUGAGUGUCAUUAAAUUCUCAACCUCACCAAUUUUUGUAUUGAAAGUUGUGUGCAGGCUUGGAUGUGGGGGUUGGCAGGUCCGCCUCUUGGUGGUCUGCUCCUCUGAAAUGCAUUAGUGGGUUCUGCCCCUAAUCUAUUGAUGUGAUAAUUUUCUACGCCGUGGAUCAGGUUGGCUACUAUAGACCUGCUUCUAACCGUCCGUCUCGGACAACUUUGACAUUUUUAACCUCAAAUCAGGUAAGACUACCCGCUGAACUUCA
rnacentral:misc_RNA from 1 species